GUGCUCGCCUCGGCAGCACACAUACACAAAAUUGGAACUAUACAGAGAAGAUGAGCAUGGCCCUUGAACAAGGAUGACAGGCAAAUUCGUGAAGCAUUCCAUAUUUUU
ensembl:snRNA U6 U6 spliceosomal RNA